CAGUCGCCGCGGUAAUACGUAGGUGGCAAGCGUUGUCCGGAAUUAUUGGGCGUAAAGCGCGCGCAGGUGGUUUAAUAAGUCUGAAGUUAAAGGCAUUGGCUCAACCAAUGUAUGCUUUGGAAACUGUUAGACUUGAGUGCAGAAGGGGAGAGUGGAAUUCCAUGUGUAGCGGUGAAAUGCGUAGAUAUAUGGAGGAACACCGGUGGCGAAAGCGGCUCUCUGGUCUGUCACUGACGCUGAGGCUCGAAAGCGUGGGUAGCGAACAGGAUUAGAUACCCCCGUAGUCCCUGUCUCUUAUACA
rnacentral:rRNA from 1 species